rnacentral:rRNA from 1 species
UACGUAGGGGGCAAGCGUUGUCCGGAUUUAUUGGGCGUGAAGAGCGUGUAGGCGGCCUGAAAGGUCAGCUGUGAAAACUCGAGGCUCAACCUCGAGACGCCGGUUGAAACCAUCUGGCUAGAGUCCGGAAGAGGAGAGUGGAAUUCCUGGUGUAGCGGUGAAAUGCGCAGAUAUCAGGAAGAACACCCGUGGCUAAGGCGGCUCUCUAGUACGGUACUGACGCUGAGACGCGAAAGCGUGGGGAGCGAACAGG